UAUAAUGCGGGUUAAAAUGAUGGAGAGAAAAUUGUGAUUGAGAAUGAUUGUAUAUAAAAUCUCGAUUAACAUACAUCAAAAACUCGUAAUAAAAAUUCACACACUCACUCACUCACGUAAACUUAAAAACAAAAAAAAACUCAAAUUUUGUUUCGAGAAAAAAAAAGGCCAAAUAAUAAAUCUAUUAUAUGGUGGAAUACAUAGUAUGUGAAGAUGAUGGCAGCAAAGGGUAUCAAGGAUAUUUAUUUUUAAAUUUAUAUUUUCUUCUUCAAAACUGCAGACUAAAAAUAUCACACGAAAAAUUAAGGGGACGCAAAACGUUGAUGACGAUGAGUAAUCAGCCUGUAAUAUUUUCUUAUUUUUUUUUCACACAAUAUAUUUUUAGUACAUUAUAUUUAAUUUUCCAAUUGUAUUGUAUUUGCUUGCCCAUUAAGAAGUAUUAUUUAAUAUGUAUGCAUAUUUUUGGGUUUUUUUCGGUAAUCACUCACACAAAAUUUGUACUUUUUGUAUCUUUAGUAGUUGAACAAACAACCCACCUUUUUCCACUUAAAAAAAAA